UGUGCAGGAAGUGUAACUGCACAAGUAAAUUUAGGCAUAGUAUGUGUUCGUAUGGAGCUGUGUUGUGAUUCUAACAGAUGGCAUCUUAAGCAUCUGCUGUGAAAUAAGGACCUGGCUCCAUGGCUGUCCAUGUGCAGAAGUACCCCUGCACCCACUCUGCACAGAGAUGUGAAGUAGUCCCUCCAGCUCUUGAAGUGAUGUUGCAUAUACAAAGUACUUACAUGUGAGUGACUUUACUCAAGCUGUUGAAGGAAUGGGCCUCCAGACUCUGAAGUGUUUCAUCUAUGGAGAUGUAACUAAAAACCAGCAAACAGAAAAAGAAACAAGUCACAGACCUUGGCAAACCAUGGCCAGUGCCCAGCAAGACAGUUUUUCUCUUCAUCCUGUGCCACCUGCCAAGGGAAGCAGCACUGAUGUUGUCAGGCAGAAGAACUUUUAACGUUUAUAUUUGCUGUAUUACCACUAAAUCGCAACUGCAUAACAAUGCUACUAAGCAGCAAAUAGAAAGAUUUCACAUUUCAGAAUUCUUUUUCUUUCCUUUUCCCAAUGAAGAUCACUAUGGUGUUCGUCAAGAAGACUUAGCUGUCAGGUAAAUUGGCAGAUUUACGUAUAUCCAAGAAAAAAAAAAAAAGGAAAGACACAAAGUUGGAUUUUGGGUUAUCACUGCAACAACUGUCACAAAUUCUUUGUCAUAGAGCAAAUAAUACUUUGCUGUUGUUGAGGGGAAAAAAAAAAUGCUGUGAUAUGAAUUUGGAAAAAAUCUUUAGCCACAAAGAGAAUGUCAUAAAGAGAAUAAAGAGCAAACUGGCACCAAAGCAAAGCAAAACAACAAGAAAAAAAUACCCCAAGCUUAAGAAAUACAUAUGGUUAAACUGAGUAGCACUUACACUGAAUAUGAGAAACUAGCCCUACUGAGUCUCCCCACUACCACUAGGAAGGUAAUAGUGAAAUUAGUCUGUUAAAAGUUUUGAAGUGUGAGUAAAGUUGCAAUACAACUAGCAAAUUCAAAUUUUCAAAGUCACACAGACCUUAAUUAUUUGGGUAACAUCACCUAAUUAUGUCAUUCAAAAUAUCUCUUAGUUUGAAAAUUGAUCAGUCCUGGAAUAACAUUUAAAUGCUGUAUUC